GUGCUCGCUUCGGCAGCACAUACACUAAAAUUGGGAUGAUACAGAGAAGAUUAUUAGCAUGGCCCCUGUGCAAGGAUGACACGCAAAUUCAUGAAGCAUUCCAUAUUUUU